UACGUAGGGGGCAAGCGUUGUCCGGAAUUACUGGGCGUAAAGGGCGCGUAGGCGGCUUGGUAAGUCGGGGGUGAAAGUCAGCGGCUCAACCGCUGGACUGCCUUCGAGACUGCCUGGCUUGAGCAUGGUAGAGGCUGGCGGAAUUCCCGGUGUAGCGGUGGAAUGCGUAGAGAUCGGGAAGAACAUCGGUGGCGAAGGCGGCCAGCUGGGCCAUUGCUGACGCUGAGGCGCGACAGCGUGGGGAGCAAACAGG
rnacentral:rRNA from 1 species